rnacentral:rRNA from 1 species
AGGACGAACGCUGGCGGCGUGCUUAACACAUGCAAGUCGAGCGGGCGUAGCAAUACGUCAGCGGCAGACGGGUGAGUAACGCGUGGGAACAUACCUUUUGGUUCGGAACAACACAGGGAAACUUGUGCUAAUACCGGAUAAGCCCUUACGGGGAAAGAUUUAUCGCCGAAAGAUUGGCCCGCGUCUGAUUAGCUAGUUGGUGAGGUAACGGCUCACCAAGGCGACGAUCAGUAGCUGGUCUGAGAGGAUGAUCAGCCACAUUGGGACUGAGACACGGCCCAAACUCCUACGGGAGGCAGCAGUGGGGAAUAUUGGACAAUGGGCGCAAGCCUGAUCCAGCCAUGCCGCGUGAGUGAUGAAGGCCCUAGGGUUGUAAAGCUCUUUGUGCGGGAAGAUAAUGACGGUACCGCAAGAAUAAGCCCGGCUAACUUCGUGCCAGCAGCCGC